rnacentral:lncRNA from 1 species
CUGGUACACAGUUCACGGUAGACCCAUGUGGAUUGCAGGCAGGAGGCAGCUCUGAACCGAGCCCGUAAUAAAUGAAUUAACUGUGGCUUUUACUACCUGCUCUCCAUGUGUGAAUUGCUUAUUGAUUAUGGUGCCAACCUGCGUUAAGAGUAUGAAGUCCUUUGCCUUAUCGAGGUAGGAAAGUGGCUGUGCAAAUAGCAUCUAAAUUCAUUUGGGUUCAGGAGCAAGAGCAAACAGUGGUAGAUUUAACCCACGUUCUGUACGAACUCCCUAAAAGUAUCUCAUUUCCUCCAGAGGGACCUGGACAGGCUGAUCGAUGGGCUGAGGCCAACAGGAUGAAGUUCACUGAGGCCAAGUGUUGGAUCCUGCCCUUCUGUCACAGCAACCCCAUGAACUGCUACAGGCUUGGGGCAGAGUGCUGCAGAGCUGCCUGGGGGGAAAAGAGUCUGGUGGUGUUGGCUGACAGCUGAUCAUGAGCCAGCAGUGUGCCCAGGUGGCCGAGAAGGCCAACAGCAUCCUGGCUUGUGUCAGCAGUAGUGCAACCAGCAGGAGCAGGAGGGUAUUGUCCCCUUGUACUGACACAGCAAUGUGAGGGAUGCCAGUGUUGAGUCAUUGAUGCUUGCUGGGCACGGAGAAGAUGAGGAACACGUUCAGAUGUUUGUAAAUCAAUCUGUGUCUUCGCAUGGAGUGGAGAUCGGCUGAGUUAUUG